UUGAUAUCGUCAUUUGAAUCUUUAUACAUAACCAGCAAUUGUCCUUCAAGGUUUCUUGAAGGUAGAAAUCCUUAAGCUCGUUCAUUUUCGCUCGCACUAGAGGAAGAGAAGUAUCGCGGUUUCCAAGUUCCGAAGAAUUUAAAGUAUUUCUAUAAAAGUGAAACGUGUUCCUUCAAAGUUUGCAGAAGAUAGCUGCUUAUUUCGGUCAGUGCGUCUGACAAUUUUCCGAUUCUCUCCAUUUGCCGGAGCAGAUAUAGAGACAAAGAAAGCGCGUAGGCGCUUUUUUUGUACGGGCUGGAAUUGUGUAACGACCAGCGGAGUCGAAUUGGGGUUCCG